rnacentral:rRNA from 1 species
UACGGAGGGUGCAAGCAUUAAUCGGAUUUAUUGGGCGUAAAGGGCGCGUAGGCGGAUAUGAAAGUCAGAUGUGAAAUCCUGGGGCUCAACCUCAGAACAGCAUUUGAAACUCCAUAUCUAGAGGGUAGGCGGGGAAAACGGAAUUCCACAAGUAGCGGUGAAAUGCGUAGAUAUGUGGAAGAACACCGGUGGCGAAGGCGGUUUUCUAGCUUAAACCUGACGCUAAUGCGCGAAAGCAAGGGGAUCAAACAGG